AUAACAAUACAGGGCUCUUUCGAUGUCCUGUAAUUGGAAUGAGUACACUUUAAAUCCUUUAACGAGGAUCUAUUGGAGGGCAAGUCUGGUGCAGAGCGACUGACCCGUGCGUGCUGCAGCUGAAGCUCCAC
rnacentral:rRNA from 1 species